UUUGAUAGGUCUGUCUUCUGGGCGAUUUUCACGAAAAUCUAUUAAGAAUUUUGAAAACCUUCCUUGAUGAAAGUUGUAGAUAAUUGAAAUACCUUUCCAACCAUAGGUCGUGGGCCUCCACGUGACAUCGGGAUAAGGAGAUAUGAACGUUUUAAGACAGAAAGGUCAAGCUGUUGGCCCAACCCAAUUCAAAACCGGGUCAGGCCCAUUUCCCUUGGUAUUUAAGGGAAAUGUUCAGCCCUAGCAGCCACAUUUCCCCUACCAAACAUUCAGAAUUUUAGAGAGAGAGAGAGAGGAGAUUUAGAGAGAGAAAGUGGAGAAUAGAUCAAGUUCAAGGCCCCGAAUCCCGAGGCUCGUGAAGGGUAAAGUGUAGAACAAGUUGUUGCCGUUAUUCUAAGCUAAAAAUUGAACUUGGGGGAUGUUGUUUUCGUGGUAUCUGCCCAUAUAAGGUAACGAAGAAGAGCAGGUUCGUGAUACUUUCGACGCUUAAGAGGACUUGCUACUCGUUGUGGAUUUGGUGAUCCCACAUUCUUGUUCGUGGGACACUUCUGUUUUCGUUUAUUAUUCGGAUUUCCGGCUGCGUCCCGAAGUUUGACGAUUUUUAUGUCUCUUAGAAGCUCCAUAGAUAGUUGUCAGAAUUGUGGGUAGAUUGUCAAAGUCUCGUACGACUUAAUGGGUGUUUGCCACGUUUAUGACUAUGACUUAUAAAGACUUCCGUUGAUUUAAUUCAUGUGUUCAUGAUGUGUUGCAUUUAAUUUAUAAAUUGUUGGAGGCGAAUGUUGAACCUGGCGGGUUCAAGUAUCAUUAUUGUGUUGUUUAGGUUCUUCCGAUGUUGUUCGUGACGUCGGAUGCCGGUCACGUCUAGGGUGGGUUUUGGGGCGUGACAAGCUUGGUAUCAGAGCCUAGGUUUAGAUGUGUCCUAGGAGUUGUUUGAGUCUGUGGAGCUGUGUCUAGUGGAGUCUUCCUUGUGCAGCCUGAUCACCUGUAUAAUCGAAAGACUACCAAGGCAUUAUAGGUGUUUCUCACUCUUCUUUAUUCUAGAUUGUGCUAUAGAGCUUGAACUUCCUUUAGGAUCGUUUUGACGUGUUCGUUACUCGUGCUUUAUGGAGAUGACUUUAACUUGUGUUGCAGAUGUUAAUCGAGUGAACAAUUGUGGUAUGGAGUGCACAAUGUUCUGAUGCAUAAUUUGAUGGAUGGUACAGAGUCGCUGGAAUUGUAUUGUAGGUGUUUGGUAUAUGUGGUUGUUGUAGAGUUUGGUGGUUGAUAAAAUUGAGACAAGUAUAGAAACAAAAGUAGCCCUUGUUACGGGGAGAACUCUGUCACAAAUCUUGUUAGGUUGAAAGGAAUAAUUAAGGUGUGAUAUGUUUUAAGUACAGGACGUUAGGGUGAAAGGAACAAUUGAGGGUCUUUUGUAAAGAAUUAAGAAUUAUCGUACGUUAAGGUCAUAUUCUUAUUGGAUUAAAAGAUCUAUACUAUUUUGAUGUUUAGUGGAAGAACUUUAUUUUAUUUUUGCUUGAAACUCGAAAACAAUUGCAGGUGGAAUAAUUAUUUAAGAAGAUGAUGUAGUUGAUUUAAGCUUUAAUUUGUUAUUUUCAGUUUUGGCGUGAGGUAAGUUAAGCUUGAAUCAUGUGUUGUUGAAUUAGCCUCCUUGUCGGAGUAUAUUGUAUAGAUUUAAAUGUUGUGCGCUUCCUAGUCAACGCAUAUAGUGUUGAACCUUUCGUCUAUAUAUUCCUCGUGGAAGUUUAGAUUAGAGGCAUGAAUUCCUCGUCCUUGUGUUUAGGCUUGAAUGAUGUAUUCAUUAUGUGGUAAAUCGUAUGUUACCUCUGAGAAGGAUCCUCUUUACUAAAGAACUCUAGAAAUUUUGAAAUUUGAGGUUUAGUGAAGAAUCUUAAGCCAUGACUUUCAUUCGGGGACGAAUGAUAUUAAGGGGGGGAUAAUGUAACACCCCGUAAACUUGAACUAAGUGUGAGUAUGUAAAUAUCUAGUGUUAAGAUGAUAUUUUAUCUAUAUGAAUCCAUUCUUGAUGAAUUCGGGUGGAAAAUGGUCGUUUUGAAGUCAAACCAACAAUCGAAGUUCUUAAGGGCUCUUAAAUUUCGCCUAAGUUUUGAUAGGUCUGUCUUCUGGGCGAUUUUCACGAAAAUCUAUUAAGAAUUUUGAAAACCUUCCUUGAUGAAAGUUGUAGAUAAUUGAAAUACCUUUCCAACCAUAGGUCGUGGGCCUCCACGUGACAUCGGGAUAAGGAGAUAUGAACGUUUUAAGACAGAAAGGUCAAGCUGUUGGCCCAACCCAAUUCAAAACCGGGUCAGGCCCAUUUCCCUUGGUAUUUAAGGGAAAUGUUCAGCCCUAGCAGCCACAUUUCCCCUACCAAACAUUCAGAAUUUUAGAGAGAGAGAGAGAGGAGAUUUAGAGAGAGAAAGUGGAGAAUAGAUCAAGUUCAAGCCCCGAAUCCCGAGGCUCGUGAAGGGUAAAGUGUAGAACAAGUUGUUGCCGUUAUUCUAAGCUAAAAAUUGAACUUGGGGGAUGUUGUUUUCGUGGUAUCUGCCCAUAUAAGGUAACGAAGAAGAGCAGGUUCGUGAUACUUUCGACGCUUAAGAGGACUUGCUACUGUUGUGGUUUGGUGAGCCCACAUCCUUGUUCGUGGGACACUUCCUGUUUCAUUUAUUAUUCUGGAUUUCCGGGCUGCGUCCCGAAGUUUGACGAUUUUUAUGUCUCUUAGAAGCUCCAUAGAUAGUUGUCAGAAUUGUGGGUAGAUUGUCAAAGUCUCGUACGACUUAAUGGGUGUUUGCCACGUUUAUGACUAUGACUUAUAAAGACUUCCGUUGAUUUAAUUCAUGUGUUCAUGAUGUGUU